rnacentral:rRNA from 1 species
GGUUAAGCGACUAAGCGUACACGGUGGAUGCCCUGGCAGUCAGAGGCGAUGAAGGACGUGCUAAUCUGCGAUAAGCGUCGGUAAGGUGAUAUGAACCGUUAUAACCGGCGAUUUCCGAAUGGGGAAACCCAGUGUGUUUCGACACACUAUCAUUAACUGAAUCCAUAGGUUAAUGAGGCGAACCGGGGGAACUGAAACAUCUAAGUACCCCGAGGAAAAGAAAUCAACCGAGAUUCCCCCAGUAG